rnacentral:rRNA from 1 species
AGCAGGCGCGAAAACUUCACACUGUGCGAAAGCACGAUGAGGGAAUCCCAAGUGCCAACUCGUAAGAGUUGGCUGUUUCUCUGUCUAAAAAAUAGAGAGAGUAAGAGCUGGGUAAGACGGGUGCCAGCCGCCGCGGUAAUACCUGCAGCUCAAGUGGUGGCCACUAUUAUUGGGCCUAAAACGUCCGUAGCCGGUUUAAUAAAUGCCGGGGUAAAUCGUGUAGCUUAACUAUACGAAUUCCGGGUAGACUGUUAGACUUGAGACCGGGAGAAGCUAGAGGUACUCCUAGGGUAGAGGUGAAAUUCUGUAAUCCUAGGGGGACCACCAGUGGCGAAGGCGUCUAGCUAGAACGGGUCUGACGGUGAGGGACGAAGCCCUGGGGCGCAAACCGGAUUAGAUACCCGGGUAGUCCAGGGUGUAAACGCUGCUCGCUUGAUGUUAGUUGGGCUCCGAGCCCAACUAGUGUCGGAGAGAAGUUGUUAAGCGAGCUGCCUGGGAAGUACGGCCGCAAGACUGAAACUUAA